rnacentral:rRNA from 1 species
GAUGAACGCUGGCGGCGUGCUUAACACAUGCAAGUCGAGCGAAGCACUUUUGCGGAUUUCUUCGGAUUGAAGCAAUUGUGACUGAGCGGGCGACGGGUGAAGGUAACGCGUAGGUAACCUGCCUCAUACAGGGGGAUAACAGUUGGAAACGACUGCUAAUACCGCAUAAGCCCACAGCUCGGCAUCGAGCAGAGGGAAAGAGUGAUCCGCUUUGAGAUGGCCUCGCGUCCGAUUAGCUAGUUGGUGAGGUAACGGCCCACCAAGGCGACGAUCGGUAGCCGGACUGAGAGGUUGAACGGCCACAUUGGGACUGAGACACGGCCCAG